AAUUCCCCUAUCCUCCUAUGAGCACGUAUUGGACCCGUUACACAUGCCCAUUUUAACCGAAAUGAGUAUCGUAAUAUGCAUACAUUAGAACCGGGACCAGGCCAUUAUUACGCUCACAUUAAGCGGACUCAAUUGUAAUUUUUUAUAAUAUACGUACUCAAUUGUAAUUUUUAAUAAUAAACGUACUCUAUGUAAUAUAGUUAUUUGUUAUAUACUGAAUAUAGAAUUUUGUGCAUGCGUAUACGUAUCUAUUGUACUUUUAUAUUUUUUCUGAUCCGUAAUUUUUUUCUCAAGGGUUCUAUGUCAUUGUGUAAUGCUAUUUUUGCAUUAUCUACUUUCCAUUUCCUCGCGAA